rnacentral:lncRNA from 1 species
UUUACUCUGUAAAAAUGGCAGACUUCAUACCAAGAUUUAAAAUGGGUGUUAUAUAUGUCACACACACGCAGGACACGAUGGCAGUGAUGGACGGUGGGGAGAAUAUUUAAAGCAUUGUAGGACUGGCCUCUCUACCUCUGCUUUUAGAACCCAUGUGUAAUUUGCUGUUUUUUUCAGUUCCAGUUAUAGAUUUCAUACUCUGCCUUAUUAUUUUGAUAGUACCAGUCAGGGAUAAUUUUUAUCUCCUGGGUUGAUGGUAAUUGAGCUGUGGUUUCAGAGCUUUGCUCACAAAGGGAUAUUACAAGAUCAUGUAGGUUCAGAACCAUAUUGACUUCCAAGGUGUUUUAUGUAUGAUCGCAUAAAGGGUAUUUUCUGUAAGACAUUUUUUUUUUUUUUGAAAUUUGUUUCUUUUCCUGCUUUAGUCUGUGGAUUGAUGUGCAACUCUUAAGACUGUAUCCCUCAUUAAGGACAAUUACUCUUUGUCUCUUGGGGGAAACUGCAGCCAGACCGGCGUUUUGUCAUUAUACAUGUGUGUGUGUGCACACACAUGCAUACACAGUUGCCUAUCGUUUACAUUGUGUAAGUGGCUGGAGUGGAUAUAUAUACCUAAACUACUUCAAAUUAAUUGAAUGAUAAACCUAUUAGGGUAGUUUAAAGAUUCAGUAAAACUUAACCUCGUUUUUUAGGUUCUUGUAGUUAUACAUAUGCUAACAUAAUUUUUACAUUUCUUUAUUCUCACAUUCUUAAAGUAUUCAGGAAUCUUAACAGUCUGUCCCUACAUACAUUUUCAUGAGUCUCAUUUUUUAUGUGCCAUACAUUAAUAGUAACUUGCAAAGGAAAUUAACAAGUUUUCCAGCUUCCAGACAAUUCCUGACUUGCUUUGUGUGUAAAUUGUGUUUUACACUGAGUCCAGAUGUGAGUAGUACAGGGCACUUCUUUGACUUUUCCUCUGAGUGCACUUUUCACCAGCGUCUGAAGUUCGUAUUGAUGGCAGUUUGUGAUGCCACCCGACAGUGGGACACAUAGGCCACUUGUUAACCUGACUCCACACUAGAUGCAGUAAUUUCUUCUUCUUCUUCUUUUUUAUUUAUUUAUUUAUUUUUUAAAUCUAGAGGUUUCAUUUUUUUAAAAGAUUUUAUUUAUUCAUAGACACACAGAGAGAGGCAGGCUCCAUGCAGGGAGGAGCCUGAUGUGGGACUUGAUCCCGGGACUCCAGGAUCACACCCUGGGCUGAAGGCAGGCACUAAACUGCUGAGCCACCCAGGGAUCCUUCUUCUUUAUUUAAGAGAAAAUAAAUGCUGUCUCUCUCUCUUAAGUAACAACCAGGGUAGAGGGGCAGAGGGAAAGGGAGAAGCAGACUCCCUGCUGAACAGGGACCCUGACACGGGACUUGAUCCUAGGACCCUGAGAUCACCACAUGAACCGAAGACAGAUGCUCAACCACUGAGCCACCCAGGUGCCCCCCUUUAGGAUGAAUCAUCAGAUGACUGACUUAAGUCCUUUGACCACUGCCAAGUCAGUACUACAGAGUUAAGAAAAAACAACAACAACACAAAAACAAGUGCCUGGUAAUUAUAUCAAAAACAUCAGAAAUACUGUCUUAUCAGAGGACUCAGGGCUUUUGUUGGAGUGAGGAAAAAAAUAUGGGAUGAAGCCUGACUUUCCUUGAAAACCACAGCACACCAUGCAGCAAGGUUGGCUCAGCCUCCUGGGAAGUAUCCUGCAACACUGUCUCUUGGCACUGGCUUGAGUCAAUUGGGAUGAAAUUACCCAGUUAUCACAAUGUGUGGCUUAAGGGGAGGUGAUUGGCUCUGUAAAACCACCUGCCACGUGGUGAGACAAGACUGACAGUAGAAUCUGCCAGGGAUACAAUUUACCUCAAGAGCAGAAAGGCUCCUGGGUCAAAGCCCGGGAUCUUGUUUUCCUGAGAUAGCUUCAGAGGGUUUGGACCAUGACCUCGAAGCCAGCUGGAUUUGGAGAGUCAAUGGGUGGCUCUCCAUGAACCUAUUUCUCAUUAGUAGGGGAUCUACUUGUCUUUGAUCAGAGUUGGAAUAAAUCUUGUUUUGUCUCACCUAGUCCACUGGUGUUGGUGUGAUUGUCUUUUUCCUCUUAAUCAUCUUCUAAAAUUAUUCCCUUGUCUGUUGCCUCUGCAGGAGGUAUUUCCUUAUUGGAGUGUCUGCAUGGUUAAGUCAGACUCAGCUUUUCACACGUAGGACCCAUGCCCUAAAGUGUCACUGUCAUUUUGCCUGUGGAGUUGCUUUAUUAAAUGCACUAAGGGCACAUGGGCAGUGGAAGAGAUUGGGCCUUUUCAGUUGGUGCUGGGAUGUGGAGUGUUUGCGGAGCGAGCCAUCUCUCAGCGUGGGAAGGACCACUCAAGAAAAGUGAGCUCCUGAACUUCCCAGGAGCUGUAUUUGUUUUUUAUUCUUCCUGUUGACCAUCCAUCUUUCUUUCUGAGGCUGUGUGUCUCUGAGUGCCCUUCUCAGGGACUUUCCUCUCUUUCCAAGUGAUUCACCCAGAGGUCAUUCUUCAGCCUCAGCCAUUCCCAGACACAGCCCCACCUGCCCAGAAGUGAGCUUUUCCACAAAGGCCCCUGGAUCCUAUAAAUAGCUGUCAGAUGCCCUCGUUCAGAUUGUGUGAACUCUCCUCAUGAGUCUCUGGUUUUCUAGCCUCCAGAGCUGGUAAAGUCAGCUGGAGCAGGAUGGUUGGUGGCUGCGAGGGGCACAUGCAGGUUCCGGACUUGUUAAAUGAAAAAAUGCCUUUCUUUACUAGGUGGGCUCCUUGUCUUUUUUUCAUCUCUCUUUUUCUCAUUUCUUUUAUCUUGCAUUUCUCUCCUUUCUCUUCUCUGACCACUUGAGAGGUAACAGUGCCACUCACGGCCGUUGCUAGGGUGGAGGCUGGAGGCACCCUGAGAGAAGAGUUUGAUUUCUGGGGCAGGAUGCUGCCUGUGGAGAGUCAGGAUUAUGCACUGGCACCUAAAUUCAGUCUGAAGCUGGGAGGAGAGUGUUGCCCUGGGGACCUCCUUUCCUCCUCUGCCCCCAGGCACAGGUCCCAUCCUGUCUGCUUCUGUGCCGCAAUUUUAUCUAAUGGAGAAUUUGCAUUUUAUGGUGAUUCUAAUAAACUUGCUUUAGCAGAUAAACCUGAUGGUUCUUAUUUUGGUGUGAUUUAAUUCCUUUCCCUAAACUGGGGUAUCUCAUUCCUCAGAAUUCCAUUGAAUUACAGUGGCUCCAGCUUCAUAUAAUUUCCUCUUGAGAUUUUAUUUCUAAACUGUAAUUUACAUUGAGGCUGAAUCUCACUGAGAUGUGAAUCCCCAGUACCCAGCACACAGUCAGUGCUUACUAAAUGUUUGCUGAAUGAACGAGGUGAAUGCUGCAUCCUCAUAUCCAGUGGCAGGAGGCUGCCGUGAAGUGGUAACUCUUAAGUCAGCAAACAUGGGCUAGAGGCAUUCUUAGGGUAUAGCAUCCUCUCCGGGAGAAAAUCUUGGGGUGAGGGGAGGGGAGAGGAGGAAGAGAGCCCACGUGUUCCUGCAGUUGGGGUGUGCUUGUGUGCUGGCGGAGUGUGGCCACAGGCAGCCACGGAGGCAGCCGUGUUCCUGGUGCUGAUCUCAGGUUGGUUUGCUCCCCGCUGUUGACCGCUAGGAACUAGCUCAUCCUCAGGACCCAGGGUCCUCGCGCCUGGACUAGUCCUCCUUUGGCAUCCCUGUGUCCAGACUGCACUCACUGCGAGUCCUCAUCGGUAUCUGCUGGAUGGUUUCUGGGCUUGACCAGUCACAGUGGAGGGUGAAGGGACAUCUUUUAUCAGGUUUCCCUUGAGAUUUAAUAUCUAUUCGCCUCUGAUGUUUUCAACUUUGAUGAGUUGAUUUCUUGCUGAGUGCGUUGUGGAAAGGUUACAUUGGGGAAAGUGCAUGGGUAAGAUUUUCUCUUGGGAUUGUUUUUAUAGGUGAGCUUUCCAUAAGCCUGGUAAGGGUGUUUCUUCCCUUUUCCAUACUUCACUUCCAUUUCUGGGACUCUGCCCCCAAGCCCUUUAAGGCUUUAUUUACAUGAAUCUGAAAGGCCGCAGGGCCUUUUAAAAUUAUACACAAAAUAUGAGGCCAACCCAGUUCUUCAUAAAUAGGUCAACAUGUUUCUACAAAGUAAGGGAUUCAGAAAUACUCUAUCCCUUAAAGAUAGGGUAUCAGUGUUCAAACUUAGUGGUUGGGGGACAGGGCUCAGGAUUGUAGCACUAGAGGAUGCUGAUUUCAGGAACCUACCUUGGAUGAACUGCCAGGUGCCACAGACAUUGUUGAGGGUGCGGCUACUGGGGGCCAGGUGUGGUGUGAGAGAGAAAGCCAGGUGCAGACCUGUAAGGAGCUCCAGGUCCUUGAGAAGCAGCUGGGUGCUGAGUGUGUGCUGUGAGGAGCCACUGGCAGGAGGCAGCCUUCUGCCCUAGGAGGGUAACAGAGACCUUUUUUUUUUUUCCAGUCAGAUGAGUACUCUUGCUUUACGUAAUUACCAAACAUUCAUUUCUUGCUUAUAGAGAAUGAGUUAAAUCUCUCCUGUAAGUUCUUUUUAUUGAUGAUCGUGCUUUUUGCCUACGUAUCAGAAUCUACUACUAAUUGUGUGAUGCUGGAAAGCAUAGCAAAUCAGGAAAGGAAAAACUAUGGAGGUAUUUGCAAGAUGGUUCUUCACAUUUAUCUGAGAGUAGAUAUCCUUCAGUAAUAGUAAUUAUGUUUGGCAAGAUCCUUGGAGAAGUUUCUAGGACUCUCUUAGGUUUGUAAAAUUGGAAUGAACCCUGAAUAGCUGUGAAAACUGGCUCUGUACAGGUGUAAACACUGACAGCAUCGCACCCAAGCAUGCCAUCCCGAGUCAGUGAGAUGCUUCAUCACUGAUUUCAUGGGCUUGAUCGUCCAUGAAGAGUGCCAUGUGUUUAAUUCAUGACCAAGUUUUCUGUACUGUUAACAUAGCCUAAUGUAAGACAUUCGCUUUAAGUUUACAUAAAGCCCCCUGAAUAGGGAAAUCCUACAUAGGU